UACGUAGGGUGCGAGCGUUGUCCGGAAUUAUUGGGCGUAAAGAGCUCGUAGGUGGUUUGUCGCGUUGUUCGUGAAAUCCCGUGGCUUAACUGCGGGCGUGCGGGCGAUACGGGCAGACUGGAGUACUGCAGGGGAGACUGGAAUUCCUGGUGUAGCGGUGGAAUGCGCAGAUAUCGGGAGGAACACCGGUGGCGAAGGCGGUUCUCUGGGCCUUACCUGACGCUCAGGUGCGAAAGCUAGGGGAGCGAACAGG
rnacentral:rRNA from 1 species